CGCGGGGUAGAGCAGUCUGGUAGCUCGUCGGGCUCAUAACCCGGAGGUCGCAGGUUCGAAUCCUGUCCCCGCUACCA
rnacentral:tRNA from 7 species